CGGUCUGCUCCAUCGGUCCAUCCAUUCUCAACAGCCUCUCAAUCUCUCCGCGCGGCCCAGCGAUGCGGUUGUCCUCGUUUAAUCGCGGAAGAAGCACGCCGACGGUUUUCGUAUCCAAAUCAUCAUCAAAAGAAAAUCUCAAAUCAAAGAGGGGUGGCCUUUCCAAAGACUCUAGAUUUCGUCACCCUAACCUCCCGCUUCCUUUACUAUCUAACGAUUUGUUCGUUUGUUGCUGGUUGCGAGGAUUAAAUGGAAGAGGAGAGCUACGGCCGGUCUUUUCCGGGUUGCAUGAAAGGCCUGUUUCACUUUAUAAAUCUCCAUCACCAUCUUCGUCUCAGAAAGAUGAAGUUGCUGACAUACAGGAAGCAUAGCGAGGGCAAGCGUGCUGCUAGAAACAAAGAGCCUAAAACAGAUCCAGAUGCUCCUUCAACUAGCCAGCAAUAUGUUUGUAUUGAAGAUGCCUGCC